CCUACGGGUGGCAGCAGUGGGGAAUAUUGCGCAAUGGGCGAAAGCCUGACGCAGCGACGCCGCGUGAGGGAUGAAGGUCUUCGGAUCGUAAACCUCUGUCAGCAGGGAAGAACGGUCACUGUGCUAAUCAGCAGUGAAUUGACGGUACCUGCAAAGGAAGCACCGGCUAACUCCGUGCCAGCAGCCGCGGUAAUACGGAGGGUGCGAGCGUUAAUCGGAAUUACUGGGCGUAAAGCGCUCGUAGGCGGGAUGUCAAGUCAAGGGUGAAAUCCCCGCGCUCAACGGUGGAACUGCCUUUGAAACUGGCAAACUGGAGUGUGUGAGAGGAUAGUGGAAUUCCAGGUGUAGGAGUGAAAUCCGUAGAUAUCUGGAGGAACAUCAGUGGCGAAGGCGACUAUCUGGAACAUAACUGACGCUGAGGAGCGAAAGCGUGGGUAGCAAACAGGAUUAGAUACCCUUGUAGUC
rnacentral:rRNA from 1 species